rnacentral:rRNA from 1 species
GACGAACGCUGGCGGCGUGCUUAACACAUGCAAGUCGAACGGAAAGGCCCUGCUUUUGUGGGGUGCUCGAGUGGCGAACGGGUGAGUAACACGUGAGUAACCUGCCCUUUACUUUGGGAUAACAUCAGGAAACUGGGGCUAAUACCGGAUAGGAGCUCCUGCUGCAUGGUGGGGGUUGGAAAGUUUCGGCGGUUGGGGAUGGACUCGCGGCUUAUCAGCUUGUUGGUGGGGUAGUGGCUUACCAAGGCUUUGACGGGUAGCCGGCCUGGGAGGGUGACCGGCCACAUUGGGACUGAGAUGCGGCCCAGACUCCUACGGGAGGCAGCAGUGGGGAAUAUUGCACAAUGGGCGGAAGCCUGAUGCAGCAACGCCGCGUGCGAGAUGACGGCCUUCGGGUUGUAAACCGCGUUCGCCUGUGACGAAGCGUGAGUGACGGUAAUGGGUAAAGAAGCACCGGCUAACUACGUG